AGUGGGAUAGCUGGGUCAGAUGCUGGUUCGAUUCCUAGUUUUCUAAGGAAUUUCUUUAACUGCUUUCCAGAUUGGUUGCACCAAUUUGCAGUCCCACCAGCAAU
rnacentral:pre_miRNA from 1 species